rnacentral:tRNA from 1 species
AAAAAUCUUAGUUAAAUAAUAACAUUAAUUUGUCAAGUUAAAAUUACCUUAAAAGUAGAUUUUUA